GAUGAACGCUGGCGGCGUGCCUAAUACAUGCAAGUCGAGCGAACAGACGAGGAGCUUGCUCCUCUGACGUUAGCGGCGGACGGGUGAGUAACACGUGGAUAACCUACCUAUAAGACUGGGAUAACUUCGGGAAACCGGAGCUAAUACCGGAUAAUAUAUUGAACCGCAUGGUUCAAUAGUGAAAGACGGUUUUGCUGUCACUUAUAGAUGGAUCCGCGCCGCAUUAGCUAGUUGGUAAGGUAACGGCUUACCAAGGCAACGAUGCGUAGCCGACCUGAGAGGGUGAGCGGCCACACUGGAACUGAGACACGGUCCAGACUCCUACGGGAGGCAGCAGUAGGGAAUCUUCCGCAAUGGGCGAAAGCUUGACGGAGCAACGCCGCGUGAGUGAUGAAGGUCUUCGGAUCGUAAAACUCUGUCAUUAGGGAAGAACAAAUGUGUAAGUAACUAUGCACGUCUUGACGGUACCUAAUCAGAAAGCCACGGCUAACUACGUG
rnacentral:rRNA from 1 species